rnacentral:rRNA from 1 species
AUUGAACGCUGGCGGCAUGCCUUACACAUGCAAGUCGAACGGUAACAGGUCUUCGGAUGCUGACGAGUGGCGAACGGGUGAGUAAUACAUCGGAACGUGCCCGAUCGUGGGGGAUAACGGAGCGAAAGCUUUGCUAAUACCGCAUACGAUCUACGGAUGAAAGCAGGGGACCGCAAGGCCGUGCGCGGACGGAGCGGCCGAUGGCAGAUUAGGUAGUUGGGGGGGUAAAGGCUUACCAAGCCGACGAUCUGUAGCUGGUCUGAGAGGACGACCAGCCACACUGGGACUGGGACACGGCCCAGACUCCUACGGGAGGCAGCAGUGGGGAAUUUUGGACAAUGGGCGCAAGCCUGAUCCAGCCAUGCCGCGUGCAGGAUGAAGGCCUUCGGGUUGUAAACUGCUUUUGUACGGAACGAAACGGCUCUUUCUAAUAAAGAGGGCUAAUGACGGUACCGUAAGAAUAAGCACCGGCUAACUACGUGCCAGCCGCCGCGGUAACAC